rnacentral:rRNA from 1 species
AGCGAACGCUAGCGGCGGGCUUAACACAUGCAAGUCGAGCGCUCCUUCGGGAGAGCGGCGAACGGGUGAGUAACACGUAGGUAACGUACCCCCAGGACAGGGAUAACUCGAGGAAACUCGAGCUAAUACCAGAUAUGUCUCCGGAUGAAAGCGGUAACGCGCCAGGGGAGCGGCCUGCGGCCCAUUAUUUAAUCCUUGAUGGUGAGGUAACGGCUCACCAUGGGUACGAUGGGUAGCUGGUCUGAGAGGAUGAUCAGCCACACUGGGACUGAGACACGGCCCAGACUCCUACGGGAGGCAGCAGUGGGGAAUAUUGCGCAAUGGACGAAAGUCUGACGCAGCCACGCCGCGUGUGUGAUGAAGGCCUUCGGGUUGUAAAGCACUGUCGGGAGGGACGAAAAAUGACGGUACCUCGCAAGAAAGCACCGGCUAAAUCCG